UCUUUGUUAAACUUGUGUAUUUACUUAGUGGAAAAUACAUGUAAAUAAAGGUACAGCAUAGGUAUUUAUAAUAUGUAUUUUAAUGUCAAGUUUUAAAUAAGUAUUACAAUGGAUACGUGAAGAGAAAUCAAAACGUAAGCAGAUUUUUUUUAUGCUUUCGUUGUCACACUUCCAGUCCAAGUCUCAAGUUUGACGUUUCUGAAAUAUUUUGUUAAUAAAUAUGAAUAACAAUAAUAUUGUUACUUGUAUAGCUCCUGUUAAUAUUGUAGUUAUUAAAUAUUGGGGAAAGAGAGAUGAUGAUCUGAUUUUACCUGUCAAUGAUUCUAUCAGCUUGUCUUUAGACACUAAACAGUUUUUUAUAUUUAUUUUGACGAAGGAAAUCAGCUGUCAGAGGUGGUCACAUAUCAGCUGUCUCAAACAUUUCAAGAAAACUUAC